rnacentral:rRNA from 1 species
AUGGCGGAAUGGCAGAACUUGAAAGUCAAGGCGGCUGUUGGCUGUGUUUUACCUACUGAACCCGGCGCAACCUACCACUGCCGGCAGAUUCCAGAAGGAUAUGCUAGGGUGAUGGUGGAUGAAAUAACGGAGGGAUUUGAGGACCUCCAGCUUGACCACCCUACCGGUGAAGGGGAGACUCGACUGGGUUUAGCUCUAAAGACUCCAUGCCUAUGGCGGAAGGAGCUCAUCAAGCUUCCGAACUGGACGGCUCCGGCGAGUAAGGGCACUCCGCCUCCUCCUCCGGCGAGUGAUCAGGGCACUCAUCAGCCUCCUUCUCCGGCGUGUGGCGGCACUCCGCCUCCUUCUCCGCCUGCGCCGGCGUGCCAGAGCAGCCAACCUCCUCCUUCUCCGCCUCGUCAGCAAGGGCAGAAGAGACCCGCCGCCGCUGCGGCUGCUCCGGCGCGUCGUAGUCCUUCUCCUCCGCCUCGUAAGCAAGGAAAGAAGACAGCCGCAGCCGCUCCGUCUGCUCUGCCGGCGUCUAGCAGUACAGCUGCCAGAGGCGGGAGGCAAUACAGAUUCGGUCCUUCUCUGAAGACUCCAGAGAAGUUACCAUAUGAGAGGACCGAGGAGGAGAACUCGAAGAUCGUGCGAGCCGAAGUGAAGAACUUCUUUGAAGGGGACAAAGCAAAGAAACAUCCACCUCCGGAGGAGAAGGUAGAUCCGGUGAAAGCAAAGCGCACUCUGGCUGCCCUGACAAAACCACCAAAGUCUCCGCCAAAAGGCAACUAUGAGCGCGUUCUUGCAAAGGCAUAUGCCGAAGCGGAGCGGUCGGGAAGUACUGUCAGUGAUAAAAGGAUGAAAGAACGACGAGCUGGGGAAAAAAUUGCCCAGCUCGGCGAACAAGAGAACCAAUCGUGCCCCCCGCUCAAGGUGUCAAAAGACAUCGUCGCUAAUGAUCCGGGUAUGGUGCCUGGUUAUACCGAUCUUGGAGAUUACCUGCCCGACGAUGUACAUUAUGAAAUCAUGGAGGUGGAUGAACACAAAUACCAUUACGGGAAGCCUCUCGUCAAAUAUGUCAAAUCUCUAAGCACGAUGAUGCGAAGACUACAUGAUUGGUACAUGAAAACCUGCAGAGAGUCUGAUGGGAUGAGUACUUUAACGCUGAGAGUUAAACCGGAGCAUGACCUCGUUGGAAUUGAACUGCUGAAUGUUCCAUUUGAGGAUUUCUUCCAGUUUUACAAUCUAAAGUCCCUCGAUAAAACAAUGAUCACUUGCUACUGUCUAUUGAAGAUCGCCGAAUUGAAGAAAAGACAAAUCGGUGAUAUUGGGUUCAUUAACACAAAUCUCAUAGAUGAUUAUCAGGUUAAAUUUCAUGCCAAAGAUACCGAGGCCAACUUGCUACAAUCGUUGGUAAUAAAUCAAAACAAAGAUAUAAUACUCUUUCCUUACAACUUCAACUUCCACUAUAUUCUCCUAGAGAUUAAGCUUGAGCCGGGAGUAGUAACCGUCUUAGACUCGAGACGAAAAGAUCCCCAGGACUAUGCGAACAUGACUCAAAUGCUCCAGAAGGUUUGGAGAAAAUUCACCUCAAAAGCCCCGGGACUGCCGAACCAGCUGCAAUUUAGACACCCGAAAUGGUUGUGGCAGCAACCCGGGAAUAAUUACUGUGGAUACUCCAUUUGCGAGUCCAUCCGCUACCAUACCUGUGAGCGGGGCUACACUGAAGAACAAUAUGAAAAUUUUCGGAAGCGGGAUCAACUCCUAGCACCAGAUCGUAUGCGAGGAAUUCAAGAGGAAUUGGCGGCAUUCUUCCUUGACCACGUGAUCGCUGAAAACGGAGAAUACUAUGUGGACCCUGUGUUCCUACAAUAUAAUUAG